rnacentral:piRNA from 1 species
UUCCGNGUCAGGCAAGAUGGUUAGCUAGGAGU